rnacentral:rRNA from 1 species
UCAGUUGUGAAAGUUUGCGGCUCAACCGUAAAAUUGCAGUUGAAACUGGCAGUCUUGAGUACAGUAGAGGUGGGCGGAAUUCGUGGUGUAGCGGUGAAAUGCUUAGAUAUCACGAAGAACUCCGAUUGCGAAGGCAGCUCACUAGACUGUCACUGACACUGAUGCUCGAAAGUGUGGGUAUCAAACAGGAUUAGAUACCCUGGUAGUCCACACAGUAAACGAUGAAUACUCGCUGUUUGCGAUAUACAGUAAGCGGCCAAGCGAAAGCAUUAAGUAUUCCACCUGGGGAGUACGCCGGCAACGGUGAAACUCAAAGGAAUUGACGGGGGCCCGCACAAGCGGAGGAACAUGUGGUUUAAUUCGAUGAUACGCGAGGAACCUUACCCGGGCUUAAAUUGCAAAUGAAUAUGUAGGAAACUAUAUAGCCGCAAGGCAUUUGUGAAGGUGCUGCAUGGUUGUCGUCAGCUCGUGCCGUGAGGUGUCGGCUUAAG